rnacentral:misc_RNA from 1 species
GGGUUUUUAUUUUUAUAUUUUAAAUCUUGAUUUUAUUUUAUGUUUUUUAAAUGUUGGUGUUUUUGAAUAUAUUAUUUAAAUAACAUAAAAAAUAAAAUAUAUAUUGACAUGGAUUAAACAAAGAUAUAUAUUAUUUUAUGUUGCAUAAACAAA